CACGGACUUAGCGUCCCUUCUUAGGACGCUUCUUUCCUUUUUCUAAUUGGCAAGAACAAAGACAGGACGUACCGAAAAAUAGCAGCCGUGUCCAUUUGAAAAUCUACUGUAGCUACCGUUUUUCAGGGGAAGGAGCUAUAGCAGACAAAGAAUUAUGAUACAUGAUUAUUA
rnacentral:lncRNA from 1 species